AAAUGUUGAAAAUGUUUGUUCUUUUAUGGGAUUUAACUGAUGCACGGGUCCUAGAAUCUCAAGGAGAAUGAGCAUGAAAUUGGACAAAGAUGAAGGAAGAAAAUAUGCUUCCUAUCAAUAAGAAGCCAUAAGCAUGGGAAUAUUGUUUGCAGUAUUUAGAGUUCCUUGAGGGUAAGGAACUUCACAAGGGGAAUGUAUUGAUUCAAUAUAUUUGGCAAUAAAUAAUGAAAGGGUAAUGUUCUAAAGUUGUUAUGCUUCCUGUUGUUGUAAUAUUGGCAGUUACAUGGGCGGAAAAGAUAGAAUAGUUGUGGGAAUUUAGUUAUUGAAAUUUUGUUAGAUGUUAGUUAUAAGAGUUGUAACCGCUGCAUUAUGGAUCAUUAUUAUUGUUAGGGUCUGUUUGUUUUAAUUGUUGAAUACAGCUGAUUUAUGUUAAGUG
rnacentral:misc_RNA from 1 species